AAGAGAACCUGCACACAGGUGCUGCAUGGCUGUCGUCAGCUCGUGUCGUGAGAUGUUGGGUUAAGUCCCGCAACGAGCGCAACCCUUGUCAUUAGUUGCUACAUUCAGUUGAGCACUCUAAUGAGACUGCCGGUGACAAACCGGAGGAAGGUGGGGAUGACGUCAAGUCCUCAUGGCCCUUAUAGGUGGGGCUACACACGUCAUACAAUGGCUGGUACAGAGGGUUGCCAACCCGCGAGGGGGAGCUAAUCCCAUAAAACCAGUCGUAGUCCGGAUCGCAGUCUGCAACUCGACUGCGUGAAGUCGGAAUCGCUAGUAAUCGCGGAUCAGCAUGCCGCGGUGAAUACGUUCCCAGGUCUUGUACACACCGCCCGUCACACCAUGGGAGCGGGUCUCGCCAGAAGUAGGUAGCCUAACCGCAAGGAGGGCGCUUACCACGGCGGGGUUCGUGACUGGGGUGAAGUCGUAACAAGGUAACC
rnacentral:rRNA from 1 species